AAGUCGUAACAAGGUAACCGUAGGUGAACCUGCGGUUGGAUCAUUACCAAAGGAAAACAAGGGCCUUGCUCGGUUCCGGGUGGGCCCGUUCUUUUCUUUUGUAACGGUGGCAGGGGAGAGAGAACUCUCCCCUGCUACUCGUUACGCCCCAUGCAAAAUGUUUUCUGACAAGCAAAAGAGCAAACAAACAAAAAACAACUUUUGGCAACGGAUCUCUUGGCUCUC
rnacentral:misc_RNA from 1 species